UACGUAGGUGGCAAGCGUUGUCCGGAAUUAUUGGGCGUAAAGCGCGCGCAGGCGGGCCUUUAAGUCUGAUGUGAAAGCCCACGGCUCAACCGUGGAGGGUCAUUGGAAACUGGGGGACUUGAGUACAGAAGAGGAAAGUGGAAUCCCACGUGUAGCGGUGAAAUGCGUAGAGAUGUGGAGGAACACCAGUGGCGAAGGCGACUUUCGGGUCUGUAACGGACGCUGAGGAGCGAAAGCGUGGGGAGCAAACAGG
rnacentral:misc_RNA from 1 species